UGUGAGCUCGAUGAGUAGGGCGGGACACGUGGUAUCCUGUCUGAAUAUGGGGGGACCAUCCUCCAAGGCUAAAUACUCCUGACUGACCGAUAGUGAACCAGUACCGUGAGGGAAAGGCGAAAAGAACCCCGGCGAGGGGAGUGAAAAAGAACCUGAAACCGUGUACGUACAAGCAGUGGGAGCACGCUUAGGCGUGUGACUGCGUACCUUUUGUAUAAUGGGUCAGCGACUUAUAUUCUGUAGCAAGGUUAACCGAAUAGGGGAGCCGAAGGGAAACCGAGUCUUAACUGGGCGUUAAGUUGCAGGGUAUAGACCCGAAACCCGGUGAUCUAGCCAUGGGCAGGUUGAAGGUUGGGUAACACUAACUGGAGGACCGAACCGACUAAUGUUGAAAAAUUAGCGGAUGACUUGUGGCUGGGGGUGAAAGGCCAAUCAAACCGGGAGAUAGCUGGUUCUCCCCGAAAGCUAUUUAGGUAGCGCCUCGUGAAUUCAUCUCCGGGGGUAGAGCACUGUUUCGGCAAGGGGGUCAUCCCGACUUACCAACCCGAUGCAAACUGCGAAUACCGGAGAAUGUUAUCACGGGAGACACACGGCGGGUGCUAACGUCCGUCGUGAAGAGGGAAACAACCCAGACCGCCAGCUAAGGUCCCAAAGUCAUGGUUAAGUGGGAAACGAUGUGGGAAGGCCCAGACAGCCAGGAUGUUGGCUUAGAAGCAGCCAUCAUUUAAAGAAAGCGUAAUAGCUCACUGGUCGAGUCGGCCUGCGCGGAAGAUGUAACGGGGCUAAACCAUGCACCGAAGCUGCGGCAGCGACGCUUAUGCGUUGUUGGGUAGGGGAGCGUUCUGUAAGCCUGCGAAGGUGUGCUGUGAGGCAUGCUGGAGGUAUCAGAAGUGCGAAUGCUGACAUAAGUAACGAUAAAGCGGGUGAAAAGCCCGCUCGCCGGAAGACCAAGGGUUCCUGUCCAACGUUAAUCGGGGCAGGGUGAGUCGACCCCUAAGGCGAGGCCGAAAGGCGUAGUCGAUGGGAAACAGGUUAAUAUUCCUGUACUUGGUGUUACUGCGAAGGGGGGACGGAGAAGGCUAUGUUGGCCGGGCGACGGUUGUCCCGGUUUAAGCGUGUAGGCUGGUUUUCCAGGCAAAUCCGGAAAAUCAAGGCUGAGGCGUGAUGACGAGGCACUACGGUGCUGAAGCAACAAAUGCCCUGCUUCCAGGAAAAGCCUCUAAGCAUCAGGUAACAUCAAAUCGUACCCCAAACCGACACAGGUGGUCAGGUAGAGAAUACCAAGGCGCUUGAGAGAACUCGGGUGAAGGAACUAGGCAAAAUGGUGCCGUAACUUCGGGAGAAGGCACGCUGAUAUGUAGGUGAAGUCCCUCGCGGAUGGAGCUGAAAUCAGUCGAAGAUACCAGCUGGCUGCAACUGUUUAUUAAAAACACAGCACUGUGCAAACACGAAAGUGGACGUAUACGGUGUGACGCCUGCCCGGUGCCGGAAGGUUAAUUGAUGGGGUUAGCGCAAGCGAAGCUCUUGAUCGAAGCCCCGGUAAACGGCGGCCGUAACUAUAACGGUCCUAAGGUAGCGAAAUUCCUUGUCGGGUAAGUUCCGACCUGCACGAAUGGCGUAAUGAUGGCCAGGCUGUCUCCACCCGAGACUCAGUGAAAUUGAACUCGCUGUGAAGAUGCAGUGUACCCGCGGCAAGACGGAAAGACCCCGUGAACCUUUACUAUAGCUUGACACUGAACAUUGAGCCUUGAUGUGUAGGAUAGGUGGGAGGCUUUGAAGUGUGGACGCCAGUCUGCAUGGAGCCGACCUUGAAAUACCACCCUUUAAUGUUUGAUGUUCUAACGUGGACCCGUAAUCCGGGUUGCGGACAGUGUCUGGUGGGUAGUUUGACUGGGGCGGUCUCCUCCUAAAGAGUAACGGAGGAGCACGAAGGUUGGCUAAUCCUGGUCGGACAUCAGGAGGUUAGUGCAAUGGCAUAAGCCAGCUUGACUGCGAGCGUGACGGCGCGAGCAGGUGCGAAAGCAGGUCAUAGUGAUCCGGUGGUUCUGAAUGGAAGGGCCAUCGCUCAACGGAUAAAAGGUACUCCGGGGAUAACAGGCUGAUACCGCCCAAGAGUUCAUAUCGACGGCGGUGUUUGGCACCUCGAUGUCGGCUCAUCACAUCCUGGGGCUGAAGUAGGUCCCAAGGGUAUGGCUGUUCGCCAUUUAAAGUGGUACGCGAGCUGGGUUUAGAACGUCGUGAGACAGUUCGGUCCCUAUCUGCCGUGGGCGCUGGAGAACUGAGGGGGGCUGCUCCUAGUACGAGAGGACCGGAGUGGACGCAUCACUGGUGUUCGGGUUGUCAUGCCAAUGGCACUGCCCGGUAGCUAAAUGCGGAAGAGAUAAGUGCUGAAAGCAUCUAAGCACGAAACUUGCC
rnacentral:rRNA from 1 species